AACGCACAUUGCGCCCUGUGGUAUUCCGCAGGGCAUGCCUGUUCGAGCGUCAGUACAACACUCAAGCCUAGCUUGGUCUUGGGCCUCGCCGGAGACGGCGGGCCUUAAAAUCAGUGGCGGCGCCUCUCGGGCCCUAAGCGUAGUAAUACUCCUCGCUACAGGGACCCGGUGGACGCUGGCCAGCAACCCCCAACUUUCUAAGUUUGACCUCGGAUCAGGUAGGGAUACCCGCUGAACUUAA
rnacentral:misc_RNA from 1 species